AACGAACGCUGGCGGCAGGCUUAACACAUGCAAGUCGAGCGCGCCCUUCGGGGUGAGCGGCGGACGGGUGAGUAACGCGUGGGAACAUACCCUUCACUGCGGAAUAGCCUCUGGAAACGGAGAGUAAUACCGCAUACGCCCUUUGGGGGAAAGAUUUAUCGGUGAGGGAUUGGCCCGCGUUGGAUUAGGUAGUUGGUGGGGUAACGGCCUACCAAGCCGACGAUCCAUAGCUGGUUUGAGAGGAUGAUCAGCCACACUGGGACUGAGACACGGCCCAGACUCCUACGGGAGGCAGCAGUGGGGAAUCUUAGACAAUGGGGAAACCCUGAUCUAGCCAUGCCGCGUGAGUGACGAAGGCCCUAGGGUCGUAAAGCACUUUCGCCAGGGAAGAUAAUGACAGUACCAGGUAAAGAACCCCGGCUAACUCCGUGCCAGCAGCCGCGGUAAU
rnacentral:rRNA from 1 species